rnacentral:rRNA from 1 species
CCGCGGUAAUACGGAGGGGGCUAGCGUUGUUCGGAAUUACUGGGCGUAAAGCGCACGUAGGCGGCUUUGUAAGUUAGAGGUGAAAGCCCGGGGCUCAACCCCGGAAUAGCCUUUAAGACUGCAUCGCUUGAACACGGGAGAGGUGAGUGGAAUUCCGAGUGUAGAGGUGAAAUUCGUAGAUAUUCGGAAGAACACCAGUGGCGAAGGCGGCUCACUGGACCGUUGUUGACGCUGAGGUGCGAAAGCGUGGGGAGCAAACAGG